GACUCAUUCAUUUUAAGUCUUUUUUUAUUGCGCAGAGAGGAGUGUUACACCACUGCAAAAUGAAACAGAAAUAACAAAUAAAGGUGUUUAUCAUCUGACUUUCUUUAACAUUCACUUGCAUUAAUACUUUUAUCUAACCUGUGGUUGGUUACAGUAAAAUGUGAUUUAAUUUGAACAAAUCUAAAGAAGAGCCCGAUUUCUACAAGUGACUGUUCUGAAAACAUCUUUUAUAAGAUGACCUUUAUUUUUGGUGGUAUUAUUGUUAUACUCUUCAUCAUUCCGCUCACCAUGCUCAUUAUUAAAAUACAGAACAGAAACACGCAGGAAAAAGUCUCUGUUCCUGGUGCUGCAGAUCCUGAACGCCAUGUAACACAACAUCAUGAGGAGCAUCAUUCAUUGGUCUAUGGCACUUUACAGUUCCCUAAACACCAGAAAAAAAACAGAAGAGCAGCCAGAAAUACAGAAGAUACAGAUGUUGUGUAUUCAGCUACUAGAUAGUCCAACAACAGCAUACAGUCAAAUAUUGUAGCCUACAUUAAUGUUUAAAAGCCAUAUGUUCAUCAAGACGCUAAUAUUUAUAUGCUAUAUUACUAAUGCCAUACAUUUAAAGUGUAUUUGAGGUCUGCAAUGUUUAGAAUUUUUCAUGCAAUAAAAGUUGCAAAGAUAAAAUGCAUUUGAAAGUUCUAAGAAGUGUAAUUUAGAUCUGUUUAUGUUCUCUGCCACUAAGAUGUAAGCAGGCCCUUUCUCAAGUGGCAGGGUUUGUGAAUGAUAUCAUUUCCUAUACAGACCCUGACAGGAAGAACCUGUUCAGUGUAGAAUGAGACGUGCUGAUGGGUACUUCAGCGGACCAGAUUACAAAGCUGUAAAUAUACACACUGAAACACAGCUUAACAAAUUAUUAAAAUUAUGCACACAUUUCACAACAAUGUACUUUGUGAGCAGCAGGCAUAUAGCCUAUUCAUUAUCAAAACUGAUAAUAUUACUCAUGAUUAUGACAGUUUAGAGAAAAUGCUAUUAAAGCAAUAUUUAAGUCCAUUUUAAAUGUGUAAAAAAAAAAAAAAUACAUAAAGGCUUUCGUAAACGUCUGUGUGCCAGUGUGUGCACCUGUUUGCACAUGAGAGAAUCACAGUUUGACUGUUUUCCACCCACCAGACUGACCCCCAGCUCAUCACUCACAGCCCUCACUGCAGCUCAACCACACAAACACCAUCACACUACAUGCCUUUCACACUACUUUCCAUAACCACAGACAAAAUACCCCUUGUUUUUAAGUGAGGUGACAAGCCACAGAUGACAAUAACUUGAAUGAAAAUAAUAUUAAUAAUAAGACAAAAUAAAUUUUAAAUAUUUAUCCUUAAACAUUCAACAAUUAUGCCUACCCUUGCACACCUGAAGGUAAUCGAUAAGUGUGUAGGGAGAAAAAUAAUUAACUAAAUAAAUAAAAAGAUACAACUAAAAGAAGAAAAAUAAAUCCUGCACACUAUCCUCACUUGCAAAUAUAGCAAAAAUAAAUUUAUUCACAAACAAUGAAACGAAACAUUUAUCCUUGUCAGAAAUUACAAUUCCCAAAUUCCCAUAUUUUUAAUGUUUAAUGUGUGUGUGUGUGCGCGUGUGUGUAAAAUAAAUAAAUAAAUAAAUGCAACUUUCAAAAGUAGCAUUUUCCGGGCCAGACUCAUUAAUAAAAUCACCACUGUGCUCCACUGAAAAUUGACAUCGUUGCUUCUACG